ensembl:lncRNA
UAGACUCAUCCUCCUAAGCUGUUGUCUUCUUUGUGAGGUCAAAGACCAGGUGGAUGAAAAUAAAGAUUGGUGUUUAUCUCUGGGAGGAUCAGAGCCGAUUCAGUCUCAUUAAAGCUGCUGCAGGCUCACCUGUGUGGCUUUGCUGGUGCCUUAGGGGAAAGCUCAGCAGGGGCUCACUUCUUCAUGAUAGAGAAGAAAGCCGUGGAUGAGCCAGCAUAUUUAAUUGGUAUAAAGGGAAAUCCCUUUUCUUUUAUAUGGGUGGCUAAGGGAGCUGACUGGAAGGAGAACUUCUCCCCCUUAGAAUGAGUUACCUUAAAUACUAUUCUCCAUACCUUUCCCGAUUUAUGCUUUUCCAAGUCAACUAGCAGUCCUUUGGCUUAUUUUACAUGUGGCUGCAAUACAAGAAUGCUGCAAACUUCAAACUGAUUUAAAUGACACUGAGUUAUUUAGGGCAAUGACAUCUUCCAAGUGGACUGAUAAAACCUCCAAGAUGAAACAACAGUGUAAAUGAUCAGGAAACAGUCCAUGUGAGGCCAGUGAACUUUGCAUUCAUGAGAACCCAGUGAACUUUGCAUUCAUGAGAACCCGGUCUUCAUUUGAUAGAGCCAUCCAAGAAAAGAGCCGGUGUGAAACAAAGUUUGUGUACAUUGAACCAUCAAAGGUGUCACUAUCUCAGCUAUCCAUGUGGACAAUUUUGGAGUAUUCAGGAUUCUGGAAAAAAAGAUGCUCAACCUGUAGUGUACAGAUUUUUUUUAGGCAAAAAUGAGCAGAGAAAACUAAAGGCCCUUCUACACAGGCCCUUCUACAUGGAAGAAACUGGAAUAAAAAGUGUUGGGGGGCCCUAGAUGACAUUGGCUGAAAAAUUGCGUUGGAUCGCAUUAAUGGCUGAAAACAUGUGUUAAAAGGUGCUCUUAAAAUCUGAUUUUGCCAAAAAAAUGAGCAUAUUCAUAUAAUUGUAUAUCACUGCACUCAAGAAAACGUGGCUUUGUUGCUAUACACUGGUGUGAACCGCUGCAGCGCAUGUGUGCAUUUUAAAAUCUCGAACAGUUGAUGAAGGCUGUAAAACAAAUGGAGCCAUGGACACACAGGUAGCUAAAUAGAAGAAAAAUUGGAAAGCAAUUCCCAUGAGAACUCUCUUCAAGUAUUCCUUUGUUCUCAUGUUUAUGAAAUUAAACAAAGUUUGAAUUUACAUAGUGAGCAUCAGGACGGCAGGCAAGUGACCCCAAAGGGAAAUGGAGUUCAAGAGGGGAAAAGUAAAGGCAGCAGGAGAGUGUGGAGAGAUGUCAAGAAAUCUGCUUGUGUGCACAUCUGUAUAUCUGCAUCAGUGCUUAUGAGGUCCAGUACAUUGCAGAGAGUUUAUAUUUUUAAAAAGAAAACUUCUGGCAGAUGUCCCAAGUCCAGCUUGCAGAUUUCUAAAAUCUGCUACAGCUGAACCUGUCAGGACACCAGGAGAGCAUUUACCGGGACUGACAGCUCUGUGUCUUGACAAUCCUUAAGGUACCGCACUUUUAAAACCCACUUAUUUGUUCCAGAUUAUCAGGAUGUCUGGAAUGGACCUAAGAAUGGAUCUCUUGUGUCUGUUUUGGCGACCAGAAUACCUCAGCCAGGGGAUAUUAAACUAAUGUUAUGGCUCCUAAUGGGAUAGAGCGUGCAUGAAGUGGGGAGCUGAGAGAAAAACAUUCAGCACCAUCAUCCUAACAGUCUCAGCUAGCACCUCUGCCUCCAGCCCCCAAGCAAUCACAAUUGCAACUGUAUUUACAUUGAAGUAGAAGUUAAAUCUACUACUAUUGCUCAGUGGCCAGCUCAGCUAAUGCCUUUCACCUGAGCUGGAAGUAAAAAUGAAUGUGGUCAUCAAAGUCAGUGCUAGUCAACCUGAUUGUAAGUGCCAAUGUGCAAGCUAUUGGCUGCAAGUCCAUUGUGAAUUUCCAAGAAAGAUAGAAAUGGUUGUAGUCAAUGUGAUGCCCAUGGGCGGCUCAAUGUAUAAGCGAACUACACUUUUGUGGGUGGCACCAAUCCUCUAGGGGCGCCUUUCUCGGCAGGACCCCUCCUCUUUGUCCUUCUUUGUCCCUGCUGCUCAACAGGAGACAGACCCUUCUCUUUCCCUCAUUCCCUUGGGGGAAUGCUGCUUCAAGGCAGGCCCAAGUGGGCCUCGGAGGCUCUCCCCAGAGCGCACCUAAACUGGCUAGCAGGGAAUCCCUUCCUCCUUCCCUCCCUCCCUCUGCCGCU